AUGUCAUGGCAUAAUCUCUUAUCCCGUCUGGAUCUGAUUAACCUGACGCAAGGCCGUGAUGUAUUUCGUUGGAACCUUACUACAUCGGGGUCUUUCACGGUAGACUCUAUGUAUCGUGCGCUCACGCAUUCUGAGGUACCGGAGAGCAAUAACAAGAAAAUCUGGAAGGCAAAGAUUCCACUAAAAGUUAAAAUAUUCAUGUGGUAUCUUCAUAGAGGUGUUGUGCUAACCAAAGACAACCUUACACGACGCAACUAGCCAGGAAGUAAGAAGUGUUGUUUUUAUACUCAUAACAAGACAAUCAAACACCUUUUUUUUCAAUGCACGUUUGUGCGUCCUACGUGGUCAGUCAUUCAAAUAGCGUCAAAUUUGUAUCCGCCCACAAGUGUUGCCAAUAUUUUUGGUCAUUGGUUGGACGGUAUUUUAAAUAGAUUCAAAACGCUAAUAAGGAUGGGAGCGUACGCCUUACUAUGGUCGCUUUGGCUAUGUAGAAACGAUUUGGUUUUUAAUGACAAAAAUGCUUCUUCUCUGCAGGUUAUUUUCGUUGUACGCACUCGUUUCGUACGUGGUCUAUAA
rnacentral:rRNA from 1 species